rnacentral:pre_miRNA from 1 species
AGUGGGAUAGCUGGGUUAAAGGUGGGUCCAUUCCCAGUUUUCCAAGGAAUCUCCAUACUGCUUUCCAGAUUGGCUGCACCAUUUUGCAGUUCUACCAGCAAU